rnacentral:rRNA from 1 species
CAGUAGCCGCGGUAAAACGAAGGGGGCUAGCGUUGAUCGGAUUUACUGGGCGUAAAGCGCACGUAGGCGGACUUUUAAGUCAGGGGUGAAAUCCCGGGGCUCAACCCCGGAACUGCCUUUGAUACUGGGAGUCUUGAGUUCGAGAGAGGUGAGUGGAAUUGCGAGUGUAGAGGUGAAAUUCGUAGAUAUUCGCAGGAACACCAGUGGCGAAGGCGGCUCACUGGCUCGAUACUGACGCUGAGGUGCGAAAGCGUGGGGAGCAAACAGGAUUAGAUACCCCCGUAGUCCCUGUCUCUUAUAC